GCUGGGAAUAACUAACUGGGAAUAUUCGCUGGGAAGAACAUUCGCCUGUUUGGGAACAUUCGUUCAAGGUUGAGACCCCGGGGACGACUCAGGACACGCUGGAGACUGGGAUCCCUCUGGAAGAGUUGGAAAAAGUGGCUGGAGAAAGGGAAGUCUGGGUAUCCCUGCUGAAGCUACUUGCCCCGCGACCCAACCCGGAAAAGAGCAGAUGUGUAAAUGGAGACAUGGGAGAGAUACAGAGGACAGAUGAAAACUGGAAAGCAUUACGGCGCUAUCAGGGACAAGUUUCCAAAGUCAAGUCUCCAUAAUGCACAGGGCGGUGAACAUCAGACAUCUUUACUCGUCUUGAUCAGAAGAUGAAGCUUGUCGGUUUUGUCUUUGUCAUGUAUUCAAGUGAAAAUGGGUUGAAAAGGAUUUCAAAAUUAAUGUACGGUUUUCCAUAUUUUCUUUAUUUUACAUAAUGUCCCAACUACAUUUGAAUUGGGGUUUGUAAAAGACAACAGUCUGAGUGACCUCAAUCUCUUAAACAGUAGACCAUGUACAUGUGCUUUUAGUUUAGAUAAUACCAAUGCAAAAAUGAAUGUGUAAAAAUUUCAUGCUAAAUAAUAAAUUUUUUCCUUUUAUUACUUUGGAAUAAAUGUAACAAAAAAAAAUCUGGCUUUGUACAUUGACCUCAAAUUGUUUAAUAAACUGUCUUAC